rnacentral:rRNA from 1 species
GGGAAUUUUCCGCAAUGGGCGAAAACAAGAAGGACCAACGCCGCGUAAGGGAUUUAGGUCUUGGGAUAGUAAACCUCUGUUUUCACGGGCGAUAAUGACGGUACCUGAGGAGGAAGCCCCGGCUAAAUACGUGCCAGCAGCCGCGGUAAUACGUAGGGGGCGAGCGUUUUUUGGAAUUAUUGGGGGUAAAGGGCGUGUAGGCGGGUUUUUAAGUCAGAUGUGAAAUCCCCGGGCUUAACCCCGGAAAUGCGUUUGAAACUGGGAGGCUUGAGUGUGGGAGAGGGGAGUGGAAUUCCCAGUGUAGCGGUGAAAUGCGUAGAUAUUGGGAGGAACACCAGUGGGGAAAGGGGCUGCCUGGGCGACACCUGACGCUGAGGCGCGAAAGCUAGGGGAGCAAACAGGAUUAGAUACCCCGGUAGUCCUAGCCGUAAACGAUGGGUACUAGGUGUGGGAGGUAUCGACCCCUUCAGUGCCGCAGCUACGCGUUAAUAACCG